rnacentral:rRNA from 1 species
AUGUCUUCGCCGAGCAGAGUGGGAGAAGGAAUUCAAGAUAUGUGGAUAGGUGAUUGCAGUGCUCAUAAUGAUACACCAAUUGACUCUCCUUGUCCUGGUGGUAAGGAUCAUGGUGUCGAGGGAGGACAUCAAGUGAAUUCGCUGAUUGAAUCUUCUCCCAUAAGUGUGGCCCCUCCUUCUGUGUCUGUUUUCCAUGCUGGGGCACCAGGGUUUGAGGAGGUUACACAAUUGAUUGACCAUUAUUUUGCAGAGGAGGAAGUUACACAGGAUUGGAUGGUCUCGGAACAGCUUCGUCAAUAUGAGUUGAAGCAAAUCAAGAAGAAGUUGAGGUUUGAAAUUGAGUCAAAAGAGUUUGCGGAGAAGGAGAAGCAGAGGAGAUCUGCAGAUGGUGCCAAGGGUGGUAAAUUUGGCAAGAAGAAUCUUGGCAAGAGAACUGCUGAAGCUGGUGGAAGUGAUGAUCCUCAGCGCAAGCGACUACAUGUCACUAAAGGUCCCAACUCUGAUGACGACGACUUUGUGCUUGCUGAUUAUGUGAAGGGUGUUCAUCCUUCUAGACGAAAAUACUAUGGUUCAUCUAAGAGUCUACCCAAGCGUGCCCGUGAUGAUGUCGACGAAGAUGUUGGUGGUGACUCUGGCGAGGAGGUGGAUGCUGCUCCAAAGAGGAAGAAGUCUAGUAAGAGCAAUGCAACUGAAGAUGAUGCUAAGGGAGAUGAUUCUCGAUUUAACAAGACCGUGCGGUUGUCGCUUCCCACUGUUUGCAAGGUUGCUUCUUUGUUGAAAGAGGCGCAUUGUAGCCGUGUUAUAGAUGCUGGAUUUGGUGUUGUCUUUGGUGUUGUCUUUGAUCUGACAGUAAAGAAAAAUGUGUCGCGCAUUCUUAUGUGCUAUCUGAUGGGAGUGAUUGACCCUGCCACCAUGGAUUUGCUGUGCCCGGGGCCUGUAGUUCGUUUGGGUAGAGUUGCUGCGAUGGUAGAGAACAUGGAUUAUGCGGCUAUGGCUCAGAUGGACUUUUGCCAGCUUGUUGUUGAUGAGUUGCAGGCAGUUGUGGUUAGGUGGCAAACAGAAGGCAGCAAGCAGAAUUGUGUAGAGGGUUGUGCCAUUGUCCCCCUGAUUAUGUAUCUUGACUGCUUGAAGCUUCGCAAAUUUUCAGUCAUGCACACGUUGACGCCACGCGCGUCAUACCUGACGACCAAGGACCUCAUGAAGUUGUACAAUGAGGAUGUGCUUGUGAAAGGAAAGAUUUACUUGGAAAGUUACAAAUUUGGGAAGCUGCCGUGGAAGGCGUCAGGUGAUAUUGUGUACAACCGUCCUGUUGCAAUUGUACACGGCAGCUCUGAUGCGGGGCCUAGCACUCAUGCUAGGUUUUAUGAGCCUAUCCGUAGCCAACUUCCUGCCUGUGAUGAUGAGGUGCCAGAUACUCGUGGUUUCAUGCCUCGACAGAUGUUUGAUAAUACAAGCUCUUAUAAACAGGCAUUUGUUGGCAGCAAAAAACAUGAGGAGAUUGAUGAGCUUCUUCUGAAGGUUUUGAAGCUGACUGAAGAUUUGCCAACCUCUGGUGACAGGUUGAGGACAGUUGCUGUCUUUUUCCCUGCUGUCCAUGGCCCACGAGAUGAAGAUAUUGUUGCUGCUCACAAUUUUGAUUGUGGUGUGAUUAAAAGCCUGAAGAUUGCAGUGACGAAUGUUCGGUCUUCGUAUGCUCAAUUGAGACAUUCACAGGAAGAAAAAGCGGCUAGAGUGGAAUCUUCUGGUGUCGAUGGAACUAGAGACGACGAAGCUGGUCAGACUGGUGUUGGUGCUUGUGAUGUGCACAAAGAGACCUACGAUGGCUCUGGUAAGGAUGAUGUCUUGGCUGAUGCAUCGUCCCCUCUGGAUGUUGUAGCUGAUAACGUUGGAGAAGAAAAUGUGGAAGUUCAUGUUGAUAUGAAUCAAGGCAGUUGUGCUGUUGAUGGCCAUCGCAGUGUUGAUGCUUCUGCAUCUGUUGCCGUUGACUGUGCAGAUCCCUCUGUAGAUCAAGGAUGCCAUGAUGCUGUUCCCACCAAUCGGCAUGAAGAUUCUGAUGUUGGCAUUGAAAAGCCACUGGAGAAUGUUGCCCUUGCUGCUAGUGUUGUUGCUUCCCCUGUCUGUCUGGUGUCCAACGAUGUUCCGGAAGUAUCGAGAGUGGAACCUCAUGUAGUUGAAGUAUCCAAGGACGUUGCUGUUGACCAGACUCUUGUAAAUCGAGAGAAUGCUGAUGUUGCUGCAGAAGGCCAGUCCAAUGACAAACUUCCUGUUGUGACACCGUCGAGCAUUGAUCCAGCUCUUCUGAAAAGAUACAAUGAGUUGUACGCUGCUGUUACAAGGGCUUGGAACGACAAGAAGAAGAAGGACAUGAUUGCUUUUAAAACUGAGAUGGGUGAUAUUAGCAUUGGCGAAGUUGGUCAAUCCUUUUGGGAUAAAGGGAAGCUCACUACAAGGCUUGUAGAUCUUGGGGUUUCUUUGCUGGUAGAUAAGUUUAAGGGAUCUCCGACAAUGGUUGUCCCGUACCAUAUUUGUACAAAUAUUUGGAAUGGUGGUAUUGUAGGAAGGAGUGUUAAAAUGAUGUUCUCCUCAAAAGCCGAGGAGCGCGUUGAUAAAAAGGAUAUGACAUGGGAUGGUGUUCGAGUUGCUAAGUUUGGGGUGGAGCACAUUGGCUACAUCAGAAAGGUCAUGCUCUAUAGCUGGCUAACAUCGAGGAAGUGUUGCCUUGAUUUAACAUCACUUCUAGUUUUUGCAUAUAAAGGUUUUGAUGGGGGGCUUCAUCAAGGCUGCACGUCACUGUUUGAGUCUCAGGGUUCUGAGGUGGUUAUGGAGGAUUGUGUCAUUGAAAUCUCUCCAGAUAAUUCUGGUUCUUUGGGUAGAGAUGGUUUGAACACAAAUGUCGCGUCUGGACCUGAUGGUGGAAGGGUCUCUCGACCUAGCUCUCCACACGAUGUAUAUGAUGUUGAUGAUGAUGAUUUUGUUAUGCCGUGUGCACGUGUCACUAGGACUAGGAGUGCAACAAUUAAUCGCCCUCCUUUGGAUGAGGUUGAAGUAUUUUCGAACAAGAGGGCAGAUGAGGAGGAUGACUCAGCUGCUGAAGGCGAUUUAUGGUGA